rnacentral:lncRNA from 1 species
UGUGUCCAUAUUCAAGUGGUUAUCACUUAAGAACAGUAUGACCAUUAUACUACAUGUAUAUAGCUUACUGUUAGAUUAAAAGGUCCACAAUCGGAUCCAUUUUUUUUUUUAAGAGGAUGGGUCCCCAAGCUAGACAACUCUUUGAGUGGAACAGGUUAAACGUCUAUAUUAAUCAUUGAUGUGGUUCUGCAUCCCUGACCCCUGGC